AUACGUAGGUGACAAGCGUUAUCCGGAUUUACUGGGCGUAAAGGGCGUGUAGGCGGUCUUGCAAGUCAGAAGUGAAAUUCCUGAGCUCAACUCGGGCGCUGCUUCUGAAACUGCAGGACUUGAGUGCUGGAGGGGAUAGCGGAAUUCCUAGUGGAGCGGUAAAAUGCGCAGAUAUUAGGAAGAACACCGGUGGCGAAGGCGGUUAUCUGGACAGUAACGGACGCUGGGGCGCGAAGUGGUGGAGAGAAAACAGGAUUAGAGUCCCGGGUAGUCCACGCCGUAAACGAUGAAUACUAGGUGUAGGGGGUAUCGACUCCCUCUGUGCCGCAGUUAACACAAUAAGUAUUCCGCCUGGGGAGUACGGCCGCAAGGUUGAAACUCAAAUGAAUUGACGGGG
rnacentral:rRNA from 1 species